rnacentral:rRNA from 1 species
CAUUACCGAGUUUACAACUCCCAAACCCCUGUGAACAUACCUUAAUGUUGCCUCGGCGGAUCAGCCCGCGCCCCGUAAAACGGGACGGCCCGCCAGAGGACCCAAACUCUAAUGUUUCUUAUUGUAACUUCUGAGUAAAACAAACAAAUAAAUCAAAACUUUCAACAACGGAUCUCUUGGUUCUGGCAUCGAUGAAGAACGCAGCAAAAUGCGAUAAGUAAUGUGAAUUGCAGAAUUCAGUGAAUCAUCGAAUCUUUGAACGCACAUUGCGCCCGCUGGUAUUCCGGCGGGCAUGCCUGUUCGAGCGUCAUUUCAACCCUCAAGCCCCCGGGUUUGGUGUUGGGGAUCGGCUCUGCCUUACGGCGGUGCCGCCCCCGAAAUACAUUGGCGGUCUCGCUGCAGCCUCCAUUGCGUAGUAGCUAACACCUCGCAACUGGAACGCGGCGCGGCCAUGCCGUAAAACCCCAACUUCUGAAUGUUGACCUCGGAUCAGGUAGGAAUACCCGCUGAACUUAAGCAUAUCAA